CCUACGGGUGGCUGCAGUGGGGAAUAUUGGACAAUGGGCGAAAGCCUGAUCCAGCCAUGCCGCGUGUGUGAAGAAGGCCUUCGGGUUGUAAAGCACUUUCAGUGGGGAAGCAAGCCUUGGGGCUAAUACCCUCGAGGAAGGACAUCACCCACAGAAGAAGCACCGGCUACCUCCGUGCCAGCAGCCGCGGUAAUACGGAGGGUGCGAGCGUGUAAUCGGAAUUACUGGGCGUAAAGCGCGCGUAGGCGGUCUGAUAAGCCGGUUGUGAAAGCCCCGGGCUCAACCUGGGAACGGCAUCCGGAACUGUCAGGCUAGAGUGCAGGAGAGGAAGGUAGAAUUCCCGGUGUAGCGGUGAAAUGCGUAGAGAUCGGGAGGAAUACCAGUGGCGAAGGCGGCCUUCUGGACUGACACUGACGCUGAGGUGCGAAAGCGUGGGUAGCAAACAGGAUUAGAUACCCGAGUAGUC
rnacentral:rRNA from 1 species